AUCUUACAGCCUUACAUUAAAGGAUCUGCAGGAAAAUCUGAUAAGAUAAACCAACAUGAAGACCAGAGAGCUGUCUAUAGGAGGAAAAACAAACCAUUUUGAAGCUGAGAAACGAGGAAAAAAUCAGAGCCAUUGCACACACAUUGGGCAACAAUUUAGAAUGUCAUGAAAAAUAUAUAAACCACUAGAUUACUGACAACCAGAUCUCAAACAGGUCGGCCAAGGAAAAGAACAGCAGUUGACAGAAACAUUGUGAGAGCAUUGAAGAAAAGCAUAA
ensembl:lncRNA